rnacentral:rRNA from 1 species
ACGGAAGGCAGCAGUGGGGAAUAUUGGACAAUGGGGGAAACCCUGAUCCAGCGACGCCGCGUGAGUGAAGAAGUAUUUCGGUAUGUAAAGCUCUUUAAGCAGGAAAGAAAAUGACGGUACCUGCAGAAUAAGCCCCGGCUAACUACGUGCCAGCAGCCGCGGUAAUACGUAGGGGGCAAGCGUUAUCCGGAUUUACUGGGUGUAAAGGGAGCGUAGACGGCAAUGCAAGUCUGAAGUGAAAGCCCGUGGCUUAACUGCGGGACUGCUUUGGAAACUGCAUGGCUAGAGUGUCGGAGAGGUGAGUGGAAUUCCCAGUGUAGCGGUGAAAUGCGUAGAUAUUGGGAGGAACACCGGAGGCGAAGGCGGCUCGCUGGACGAUCACUGACGUUGAGGCUCGAAAGCGUGGGGAGCAAACAGGAUUAGAUACCCUGGUA